GAUGAAGAACGCAGCGAAAUGCGAUACGUAAUGUGAAUUGCAGAAUUCAGUGAAUCAUCGAAUCUUUGAACGCAUAUUGCGCUCUCUGGUAUUCCGGAGAGCAUGCUUGUUUGAGUAUCAGUAAACACCUCAACUCCCUUUUCUUUUUUGAAAUUGGAGCUGGACUUGAGUGAUCCCAACGCUUUCUUCCAAGAAAGUGGCGGGUUGCUUGAAAUGCAGGUGCAGCUGAACUUUUCUCUGAGCUAUAAGCAUAUCUAUUUAGUCUGCCUAAAAAACAGAUUAUUACCUUUGCUGCAGCUAACAUAAAGGAGACUAGUUCUUGUGCUGACUGAUGCAGGAUUCACAGAGACAGCUUCGGCUGACUUUGUAAACUCGAUCUCAAAUCAAGUAAGACUACCCGCUGAACUUAAGCAUAUCAAUAAGCUGAGGA
rnacentral:misc_RNA from 1 species